rfam:Habropoda laboriosa contig7209, whole genome shotgun sequence.
GAGUUAUUGGCGUAGCGUGCAAAGCCUCGGCUUGCCAAGCCGAAGGUCCCGGGUUCGAUUCCCGGUUGGAUCC